rnacentral:lncRNA from 1 species
AUAUGAGUUGACCUGGCAAUGAAGCAUGGCCUGUCCCUUUUGCUGUCCAGAAAUCUCCCAAACUUGUGGCCGGUAACCUCUUCCUUUCUAUCCUUUCCGAAGAUUCCCUUUGGAUGGAAGUCAGCUGUGAAUGCUCUCCUGAUUUGCAUUCAAUUGUAUAAAUUGUCAUAGCAUGUCACCACGGAGACUUCCUUGUUCGUGUCUAUAUGGUUCAUACAUGGCCUUCCCCUUAAUUAAAGAUGUCUUCCGAGGAACAUUUUGUCUAAGCCUGAUUGAACCCCAACCAGAGGCUGAGGCAGGAGAAUCACUUGAACCCAAGAGGCAGAGGUUGCAGUGAGCCGAGAUUGCACCAUUGCACUCCAGCCUGGGCAACAAGAGCAAAACUCCAUCUCAAAAAAAAAAAGAAAAGAAAAACUAGAACCUCAUUUAUUACUACUGAGAACUGUAGAACUGCAAAGUGGUUCUAAAGUUGUAGAACCACUUUAGAAAAAAUUGGGCGAUUUCUUGUAAAGUUAACACAUUCACUGUAUGAUUCAGAAAUUUCAUUACUAUGUUGUAUGUAAGAAAUGAAAACACAUGUCUACAAAAGAAUUAUAUAUAAAUGUUUAUUGUAGUUUUAUUUGUAAUAACAAAAAGCUGGAGACAAUUCAGAUAUUCAUCAAACAGUGAAUGGAUAAACAAAUCGUGAUAUAUUCAUUCAAUGGAACACUUCUUCAGCAAUAAAAAGCAAAAAGCUACUGAUACAUGCAACAUCAUGGCUAUGUCUCAAAAUCAUUACGAUGAUGAAAGAGGGUAGAGUAAAUAAUAUGUGAUUCUAUCUAUACAAAAUUGUACAGCAAACAAAACUAGUUUGCAAUGACAGAAAGCAGUUUAGUGGUUGUGGUUAAAGGUAGAGUUGGAGAACUUUUUUUGGAGUGAAAAUGUAUGUUCAAUAUAUUAAUUGUGGUCAUGGUUACACUAAUGUUUAUGUUUUUCAAAACUCACAAAACUGUAUUAUGUAUAAAUGCAUAUAAUAUAUUGUAUGUAAAUUUGAACCUAAAUUAAAUUGAUUUAAAAAGAAAAAAUCAAUAAAAAUAUUAAGAAAUACACUUCUAAAUAAACCGUGAGGCACAGAGUCAAUUAUAAUGGAAACAAAAAAAAUUUGAAUUGAAUGAUAUUAAAAAUAUUAGAUGUCAAAACUUCCUGUUAAACAAGUACUUAGUGGGAA